ACAGGGUAGGUCGCGCUAUGGUUUACAAGUUUACAUUUUAUGGUUUACAAGUUUACAUUUCAUGUGCUGGUCGAUCAUCCGAGUAAGUCACUAAUUUAUGAAUUAUUAAAUUGUUGUACGUGAAUGUGAAAUUUUUAUUUAACUCUUUUCAAAUGAUAACAUCUAUAACUGUUUUCGUCGCUUGUACAUUUUAGUAUUUAAAAUGGUUGUGCGAUUUUCAUUUAGCUCUUUUUAAAUGAGAAACCCUUAAAUUAUUUUUGUCGCAUGUAUAUUUUAGUAUAUCAAAAUACGUUUACAUAUUUAUAUAUAUUUAUGAGUUCUUUGACUCAAGAUAGGACGACCACACGUUUGGUCUUAAACAAUUUGUCUGAAGUAUUAUUUUAAAUGCAUUUCGAAGUGUAUGUAUAAUUUCAAAAUGUUUUUCGUACUGAUACUUAUUAUAUAAACAAUUAGUACAGAUAGAUUCGGGGAAAUAUAAUUAUAUUUUGGAUUUUAGAUAUAAGAUUAAAUGUAAGUUUAGUUAUAAGAUAGAUCGAUCACGUGUCUGUAUGAUUAUCGAAAUUUGAAUCUAUAAAAAAACAGCUAAAGUCUAUUUCAACUAUUUGUGGUGUACUGGUGCAGUUUUGUGACAUUUUCAAAGCGGCUUACAUUUUGAUAGCUGUUCGUGUAUCACUGGUGAUCUGUUUAUCGUGUUAGCGGUUUGUUUAGUUAACUUUUGUAUUAAUUUAUAUGACGAAACUGAGAUAACAGCGACAAUUUUGUGGCAACUUAGCGAUCAUGUAUUUUAGUGAAUAAUUUUGUCUUAUAUGUUAUACAAUUGUUAACAUGAGUUUAUGAAUUUUAAUUCAAUAUUUAAUUUAAAAUUAUUGUCUAUAACAUUGUUCGCCUUCCGUUUUUAUUAACAAGACUAUUUUUAUGGUUUUAUAGGAAAGCUGUUCGUGUAUCGCUGGUGAUCGGUUUAUCUUGUUAGUGGUUGUGUAGUUAACUUUUAUUAGCAAAGCUUAAAUUCUACGUUUACUUUAGUUUUGCAUUCCAUUGAAAUCGUUGUUUAUAACAUUGUUCGCUUUCCGUUUUUAUUAACAAGACUAUUUUUAUGGUUUAAUACUGCCACCACGGCCAAAAGACGUCGUGUUAAAGUUGCACAGACGCUACAAGCAAUGGGCGCAGACCAGAAAAAGACCACCGGCCUCGCGCAACCGGAGCUUCUGGCGCCGGGAAUAGAGCACGAGAAUACGUCCGCAACGGGUUCUACUCGGUACGAGCGAAGAAGGUUGUGAGCAAGAUUGCCACCACGGGUCGAAAAAUGUCUUUUGAAGGCAGCGUUGUCGUCUCAAGCAAUCGUCUGAGCGGAUUAUAAGUGUUGUCGAGAAUUACGAGCUCCAUUAGAAACCAACAUCGUCAUGGCUGGGACUUAACCGCGUACGGCACACCGUCAGUCUGUCAAAUGGUCUACUUAGUUCGGCCCCCGACGACAGGUUCCUGCGUAAUUGACUGUACCAGUGUUAGAGAAUUUGCUAGACUUUGACUGCCAAAUGUUUGGUCAUUAAAAAGCAUCCCACAAUGUUGCGACAGGCCCAUGAUUCAGUUUAUCGAGACUAGUCGUGAGAAGCAGACUUCUGAUUCCUGGAGUGCGGCAAACAUAUCUGUGCGACUCGAUCACUCCACUGUAAAGACCCGCACGGCAUUAAAAUGGAUAUUAUCAAUAUGUGUUGUUGCUCGAAAAUAUGUUUGUGUAGCAGGAAGUACUUUGGGCUCGAUUAAUCUGAGAACUCAACAAAAUAUUAAUAAAAUCCUUCUGUGCCUUUUAGUUCUGAAAACAGAAGUAGCCAGUUGGUAUUACACAUCUCCUAAACAAGUACAGCACGAUAAAACUUAUAAACCUAGAUAUUUAUUUAUGUAGUGGUGUAUUUUUCAAUGAGUGCCUUACGAUUUCAAAAACAUAUUGACUUAAAAUAAAUAAUCCCGAUGGCGUAAA